UCUUAUGGAUGAGCAAAGAAAGUGCUUUCUUGAGAUGGAAUCUACUCCUGGUGAAGAUGCCGUGAGCA
rnacentral:pre_miRNA from 1 species